UGGGGAAUAUUGCGCAAUGGGCGAAAGCUUGACGCAGCAACGCCGCGUGAGUGAUGAAGGCCUUCGGGUCGUAAAGCUCUGUCAGAAGGAACGAAUACCCGCUGGGACUAAUACCCCGGCGGUUUGACGGUACCUUCAGAGGAAGCACCGGCUAACUCCGUGCCAGCAGCCGCGGUAAUACGGAGGGUGCUAGCGUUGUUCGGAAUUACUGGGCGUAAAGCGCGUGUAGGUGGACUAAGUAGUCGGGUGUGAAAGCCCUGGGCUCAACCCAGGAAGUGCGCCCGAAACCAUUAGUCUUGAGGUCCGGAAGGGAUCGGGGAAUUCCCAGUGUAGAAGUGAAAUUCGUAGAUAUUGGGAGGAACACCGGCGGCGAAGGCGCCGAUCUGGACGGAUUCUGACACUGAGACGCGAAAGCGUGGGUAGCAAACAGG
rnacentral:rRNA from 1 species